AUUGAACGCUGGCGGCAGGCCUAACACAUGCAAGUCGAACGAGUGGCGGACGGGUGAGUAAUGUCUGGGAAUCUGCCUGAUGGAGGGGUAUCACUACUGGAAACGGUCGCUACUCCCGCAAACCCUCAGAUGUCCCCAGAUGGGAUUAGCUUGUUGGUGGGGUAACGGCUCACCAAGGCGACGAUCCCUAGCUGGUCUGAGAGGAUGACCAGCCACACUGGAACUGAGACACGGUCCAGACUCCUACGGGAGGCAGCAGUGGGGAAUAUUGCACAAUGGGCGCAAGCCUGAUGCAGCCAUGCCGCGUGUAUGAAGAAGGCCUUAGGGUUGUAAAGUACUUUCAGCGGGGAGGCGUUACCGGCAGAAGAAGCACCGGCUAACUCCGUGCCAGCAGCCGCGGUAAUUC
rnacentral:rRNA from 1 species